rfam:Pantoea stewartii subsp. stewartii DC283 WGS_Sequence09, whole genome shotgun sequence.
GCCCGGGUGGUGAAAUCGGUAGACACAAGGGAUUUAAAAUCCCUCGAUCGUAAGGUCGUGCGGGUUCAAGUCCCGCCCCGGGCA